rnacentral:RNase_P_RNA from 1 species
CCAGGGGGCCGGGCAGCUGCGGGUCGGAAGACGCGAGGAAAGUCCGGGCUCCACGAAACAAGGGUGGCGGGUAACGCCCGCCGGGGGUGACCCCAGGGAAAGUGCCACAGAGAGUAUACCGCCGAUGGAGGCUAAACCUCACAGGCAAGGGUGAAAGGGUGCGGUAAAAGCGCACCGGGGCUGCUGGUAACAGCGCCCGCAUGGCAAACCCCACCCGGAGCAAGGCCAAAUAGGGGCCUCGCGCCGCAAGGCAGGAACGUUUCGUUCCGAGAGGCCCGGGUUGGCUGCUUGAGCGCAGGGAGCAAUCCCUCGCCUAGAUGAAUGGCUGCCGCUGCAAGGCUGGUGUGCAAACAUACCGCUUGCAGGACAGAACCCGGCUUACAGGCCCCCUGGCAUA